GUAAUCCCGCCUUGUGGGUAGGUCAUCCACAGGUAAGACCGUCCAAAGGGCGGCGCCUACCCACUCCCGAAAGGGAAAAGGCGGGAAGGAGGU
rnacentral:ncRNA from 1 species